GAUGUAAUGCUAAUUGACAGGAAUGUACUGUUCCUCUUGGCCCUGUGACAUGUGAGUCUAUGGGACGCUCUUGUGUCCAAUCCCGUAGGCUCGCAGUCGCAGUAACGCUGCCCUGGAAGUCAAGAGGUGUUUCCAAACAGUCCCGGAAAACCCACAGGAGGCCAAAACUCUCAAGCGGUCCCUCACAAUAUUUGGAAAUGUCAUCUUCGCCCUCAGCAUGGCUGGUUGCCACCAUGUUCCUUACAGAGAGUCAAAGCUCACCCGGGUUCUGAGGGACUGCCUGGGAGGAAACUGCCGGAUGUCUCUGAUCGUCACGGUGUCUCCCCACUUGUCCUCAGUCACUGAGACUCUAAGCAGCCUGCAGUUUGCCUCUCGGGCUAUGGCCAUCCCUGGAAGACCCGUCCAGCGCUCACAGCUGCAGUGUGCCCUCGUCCAGGUGCAGAGCGCGGUGACGGAGCGGAGCGUGCCCGCUGCGAACAGACAGCACACACACACACCGUUCAGCGGGGACAAAAGGCCCACGGCUCAGACCUGCCUGCCUCCCAUCCCGUCCGGCCCGUCCUCCCCGCCGUUCCGGCCCGGCCACAGGCAGCCGGAUGAUCCCGAGCAGAAAGCGUUCCUGCCCCAUCUGGAGAAACAGAGCCAGUGCGAGGGCAGCUGUGGCGGCAGCCACUUUGGGUUUCCUGCAGGAAGAGGAGGACACUGUCCGCCAGAGGAGCGGGCAGCAGUUGGAGGAAGGACCACGGAGAGCAGGGCGUCUCGCGUGCUCUCCUCCCGCCCGCGGUCCUACUCCAGCAGCCUGUCCGGGCCACUCCCUCUGCCCCAGGACGGAGGAGGAGGAGGAGGCGGAGGCGGCGCGGGAAGGGAGAAGGUGGUGUACCCUUCCCCACGACGCUCUGUGGAGAGACUAUCCGCCUCCUCCUCCGCCUCCGCUAUGGGUCCAUGUGCACCUGCGUCCCUCUCCAGCGCUCCUGCCGAGUGCCCCAACUGCAAGAGGGAGAGGAAGAUCAGGGAGGAGUACGACAAGUUCAUCGUUCAGGCGCGCAGGGACAGAGACUCCCUCAACCAGAGAGUGGCAGAGCUGGAGGCCAGGCUCCUGACGAGAGGAGCAGAGAGAGAGGAGGAGGAGCAGGAGGAGGAGGAGCAGGAGAGGGAGAAGGAAGAACACGAGCAAAGAGAGGAGGAGGAGGAGGAGGAAGAGGCCAUGGAGAUUUCAAGAUGUAACACAGCUGAGAUACCUGUCAAUGCAGAGGAGCAGACACCAGGCUCUGCUGAAUCUCCACAGGACAUGGAGUCUCUGAGAGAAGAUGUGGAGACUCCGAGAGAAGAUGUGGAGACUCAGGGAGAGGCAGUGAGCUCCACGCUCAACGGAAAACAAAAACAACAGCUGGAGAAAGAGAGCAACCAGCUUAAAGGGCAGAUCGUGAGUGCAUCGAGGUCAUCAAGAAGACACUUAAGCAACAGUUUUCACCUCUCUAUUCUUAGUUUCUUUUUCCAUUGCUCCAUCCUUCUCUUGUCUAACUCCUCUUUCCCUCCAAUCUUCCUCCCAAUUCCAUGUCUCUGGUUAUCUGCUGUUUGA
ensembl:lncRNA